UACGUAGGGCGCAAGCGUUGUCCGGAAUUACUGGGCGUAAAGGGCGUGUAGGCGGCCAACUAAGUCCGACGUGAAAUCCCCAGGCUUAACCUGGGAACUGCGUCGGAUACUGGAUGGCUUGAAUCCGGGAGAGGGAUGCGGAAUUCCAGGUGUAGCGGUGAAAUGCGUAGAUAUCUGGAGGAACACCGGUGGCGAAGGCGGCAUCCUGGACCGGCAUUGACGCUAAAGCGCGAAAGCCAGGGGAGCAAACGGG
rnacentral:rRNA from 1 species